UACGAAGGGGGCUAGCGUUGCUCGGAAUCACUGGGCGUAAAGCGCGCGCAGGCGGUCUUCCAAGUCAGUGGUGAAAGCCCGGAGCUCAACUCCGGAACUGCCUUUGAUACUGAGGAUCUUGAGUUCGGGAGAGGUAAGUGGAACUGCGAGUGUAGAGGUGAAAUUCGUAGAUAUUCGGAAGAACACCAGUGGCGAAGGCGACUUACUGGACACAUAUUGACGCUGAGGUGCGAAAGCGUGGGGAGCAAACAGGG
rnacentral:rRNA from 1 species